rnacentral:rRNA from 1 species
GAUGAACGCUGGCGGCGUGCCUAAUACAUGCAAGUCGAGCGAACAGAUGAGGAGCUUGCUCCUCUGACGUUAGCGGCGGACGGGUGAGUAACACGUGGAUAACCUACCUAUAAGACUGGGAUAACUUCGGGAAACCGGAGCUAAUACCGGAUAAUAUAUUGAACCGCAUGGUUCAAUAGUGAAAGACGGUUUUGCUGUCACUUAUAGAUGGAUCCGCGCCGCAUUAGCUAGUUGGUAAGGUAACGGCUUACCAAGGCAACGAUGCGUAGCCGACCUGAGAGGGUGAUCGGCCACACUGGAACUGAGACACGGUCCAGACUCCUACGGGAGGCAGCAGUAGGGAAUCUUCCGCAAUGGGCGAAAGCUUGACGGAGCAACGCCGCGUGAGUGAUGAAGGUCUUCGGAUCGUAAAACUCUGUUAUUAGGGAAGAACAAAUGUGUAAGUAACUAUGCACGUCUUGACGGUAACUAAUCAGAAAGCCACGGCUAACUACGUG